CCUACGGGCGGCAGCAGUGGGGAAUAUUGCACAAUGGGGGAAACCCUGAUGCAGCGACGCCGCGUGAGUGAAGAAGGAUUUCGGUAUGUAAAGCUCUAUUAGUAGGGAAGAAGAAAGACGGUACCUGACUAAGAAGCCCCGGCUAACUACGUGCCAGCAGCCGCGGUAAUACGUAGGGGGCAAGCGUUAUCCGGAUUUACUGGGUGUAAAGGGAGCGUAGACGGCUGUGCAAGGAUGAAGUGAAAGCCCAGGGCUCAACCCUGGGACUGCUUUGGAAACUGUGGAGCUAGAGUGCUGGAGAGGUAAGUGGAAUUCCUAGUGUAGGGGUGAAAUGCGUAGAUAUUAGGAGGAACACCAGUGGCGAAGGCGGCUUACUGGACAGUAACUGACGUUGAGGCACGAAGGCCAGGGGAGCGAAAGGGAUUAGAUACCCCUGUAGUC
rnacentral:rRNA from 1 species